rnacentral:rRNA from 1 species
GGAGCUUGCUUUAUAUAACUUAGCAGCGAACGGGUGAGUAACACGUAGAUAAUCUAUCCUAUACUGGGGGAUAGCCCGAUGAAAGUUGGAUUAAUACCGCAUAUAGCUAUAUAGUUGCAUGAUUAUGUAGUGAAUGAUUUAUUGGUAUAGGAGGAGUCUGCGGCACAUUAGCUAGUAGGUGAGGUAAAGGCUUACCUAGGCGACGAUGUGUAGCCGGUCUGAGAGGAUGAACGGCCACAAUGGAACUGAGACACGGUCCAUACUCCUACGGGAGGCAGCAGUGGGGAAUAUUGCACAAUGGGGGAAACCCUGAUGCAGCAACGCCGCGUGAGUGAAGAAGGUUUUCGGAUUGUAAAGCUCUGUUAGCAGGGAAGAGGAAGGACGGUACCUGCAGAGGAAGCCACGGCUAACUACGUGCCAGCAGCCGCGGUAAUACGUAGGUGGCAAGCGUUGUUCGGAAUAACUGGGCGUAAAGGAUGCGUAGGCGGUUAAACAAGUUAUAUGUUAAAUAUAUAGGCUUAACCUGUAGAAAGCAUAUAAAACUGUUUAACUAGAGUGCAGGAGAGGUAAGUGGAAUUCCUAGUGUAGCGGUGAAAUGCGUAGAGAUUAGGAAGAACACCAGUGGCGAAGGCGACUUACUGGACUGUAACUGACGCUGAGGCAUGAGAGCAUGGGGAGCAAACAGGAUUAGAUACCCUGGUAGUCCAUGCUGUAAACGAUGGGUACUAGGUGUGGGUUGUGAAUAACAAUUCGUGCCGUCGCAAACGCA